CCCUCCUCACUCUCUUAUCCCAAAUCUCUCUCUCUCUCUCUCUCUCUCUCUUUGUCGAGAUCUUCCGCCUCCUUUCCCUUUUUUCUUUACAAACAGUUUCAGAAUCACCUUCACCAAUCGUUAAACUUCUACUAAUCCAUUGUGAUCCAACAAACAAAAGAGGGUAUUCAUGGAAAACAUCUUCCACUUUUGAGUAAUAAAAAGAGAGAAAGAAAAUGUGGAUCUGGGAUUUUUUUUGCAAAUUUCAUGUACAAUUUGUAUUGAAAGCCUUUAAUAAUUUCUGUGUUAAUUAGCUCAAUCGAUUUAAUUAUUAUUUUCUUUUUGUUAUAUGUUCGAUUUUGAUUUUUGGAUUUUUAAUAUGAAAUUUAUUCUGUUGAUCACUAAGUUCUAUCUAAUGAUUUCAUAGUGAUUGUGAUCUGGCACUUGUGGUGGUGUUGAUUCUAAUUGCGAAGGUUGUGGUGAUAAUGGUAGUUGUUUAAUUUUGAUUGGUUUUGGUGGAUAGUUUUCCUAGCUUAGUUCAAUUGAGGGUAAUUUUUGGGUUAAUUCAUGGUUCUAAGCGAUUAUGGUAGAUAAGAUGUUCUCUCAGUUUAAAAUGCAGUAAGAAAUUAUUACAUGAUUUAUUACAUGUUAGUUUCAAUUUAAAACUUUGAUUAGGUAUUUCUAUUUUAGUUUAAGUUUUCAAGUUCAAUAUGUCAAAAUUAAGUUUUCUGUUUUCUUUGAUUUUAGUGGGUGAACUAUUUGAUAAGUUGUCUCAGUGAACAUAACGUUGUUUGUCUAAACUUUCGUAAGUUUAAUUGGGUAGUUACCAUUCUAUUCAAUCGAAAUUAUUUAUGUUAGAUUAUGGUACAUCCACAUGAUACUUCAGUGAUACUUAUAGACAUGUUACCAAGAUGCUGGUGUGAUUGCUGGAUUAAAUAUAACAAGAAUCAUCAAUGUACCAACUGUCACACUAUAGCUUAUGGUUUCCUUGACUAUAACGGGUGUUGAGUCUGUUGACAUGGUAAGGGAAUAAAAACCACACAUAAAGAAAAAUUAGCUUUCGUGAAUGUUAAUAUGCAUUUGACCUUACCCACCGUUUUUUUAGUGUAAAAAAUCUAGGACUCUCCAUUUGUCAUUUACUCCCCGCUUCCUAAAGGAUGAUGCUUUGUGAUGAUAUUUUGAUGAAAACAAAUUUAAUAGUUUAGUGAUGCACCUUUUUUUUCUCUUGCAGGUAAGCCCUUUUGAACCAUGACAUUUCUCAAUGUCAACUCCCAUACCACAUUUUGUUUGUUUCUGACGCACUAAAUUGGUGUUUGAUUCUGUUAGAUAUCUGCGUGUGAUUUCCAUUUGAACAAUUUCCAUACGCUCACUCAUCAAGAGAACUGAUGGGGAUAGAUAGACACCUCUGUGCCAAACUUUAUGUGAAACUAUUAAUGCUAACUGAACUGGAUUAGUCUUCAUGCAUUUAAUAUACAUUUCAGAGUGAUUAUAUAUAUGACUACUAACCCAAGUUCAGUCAGCCCACUUCUGCGAUAAUCACUUCAUUAGUUGGGCAGGAGUUGUGGAUGCACACAUGAAGGAUGGUGUGAGACUUCUUAACCUCAACGUGGUAAUGUGAUUGGAGUCCAGUCCAUUACCAAGAGGCAACCCACAAGUUCUGGAACAAUAAGGUAACCUGCAUUAUGUGCUGGUCAUUGCUACCCAUUUAAGGAAUUACAUUUUUCCAAGGUAUUGCAGCCGCCACCGCCACCAUCAGCACCGUCCCUGUCAGAACAAUGAGCUAUUGCAGCGAGAUAGCGAAGAGGGAGCUCCACCACCCUUUGAGGAUAAAGCGAAAACGACGACGUGCUACAACCAAUGCUGAUUAUAACAGCAAAGAACUUCAACCAAUGAUACAAGUGGAGGCUUAUAUAAUUCAAGCGCAGGCUAACCAAAUAUGCGCACAAAAUGAGAUCAUCAAAAAGCUGCAAGAAGAUGAUGAAAAGUUCACACAAAAAAUGCAGAAACCGAUGCUUACACUCGGGCUAAACAACAGUACCGCUGAUGGAUCAAAUGAUGUUUUAGUCUUGGCAUUAUCUUUUUACUUAUUUACUUGUCACAUUAAUGUUGGAUCAACGGUGUUUUUUUAUUUAUUCGUAGAAUUUAUUUAUCGGGUAUUUUUUAGUUUGGAUAGUGUUUCAACAACUUAUUUUAAUGGCUAAUUAUUUUUUAUUCAACUAA